rnacentral:rRNA from 1 species
AACGAACGCUGGCGGCAGGCCUAACACAUGCAAGUCGAGCGAGGACUUCGGUCCUAGCGGCGGACGGGGGAGUAACGCGUGGGAACGUGCCCUUUGCUUCGGAAUAGCCCUGGGAAACUGGGGGUAAUACCGGAUGACCCCCUUGGGGGCAAGAUUUAUCGGCGAAGGAUCGGCCCGCGUUGGUUUAGGUAGUUGGUGGGGUAAUGGCCUACCAAGCCGACGAUCCAUCGCUGGUUUGAGAGGAUGAUCCGCCACACUGGGACUGAGACACGGCCCAGACUCCUGCGGGAGGGAGCAGUGGGGAUUCUUAGACAAUGGGGGAAACCCUGAUCUAGCCAUGCCGCGUGAGCGAUGAAGGCCUUAGGAUUGUAAAGCUCUUUCAGCUGGGAAGAUAAUGCCGGUACCAGCAGAAGAAACCCCGGCGAACUCCGU